rnacentral:rRNA from 1 species
GCCCUUAGAGUUUGAUCCUGGCUCAGGAUGAACGCUAGCGGCAGGCUUAAUACAUGCAAGUCGUGGGGCAGCAUGAAUGUAGCAAUACAUUUGAUGGCGACCGGCAAACGGGUGCGGAACACGUACACAACCUUCCUAUAAGUGGGGAAUAGCCCAGAGAAAUUUGGAUUAAUACCCCGUAACAUAAUGAUGUGGCAUCACAUUAUUAUUAUAGCUUCGGCGCUUAUUGAUGGGUGUGCGGCUGAUUAGAUAGUUGGCGGGGUAACGGCCCACCAAGUCUACGAUCAGUAGCUGAUGUGAGAGCAUGAUCAGCCACACGGGCACUGAGACACGGGCCCGACUCCUACGGGAGGCAGCAGUAAGGAAUAUUGGUCAAUGGACGCAAGUCUGAACCAGCCAUGCCGCGUGAAGGAUUAAGGUCCUCUGGAUUGUAAACUUCUUUUAUCUGGGACGAAAAAAGGCGAUUCUUCGUCACUUGACGGUACCAGAUGAAUAAGCACCGGCUAACUCCGUGCCAGCAGCCGCGGUAAUACGGAGGGUGCAAGCGUUAUCCGGAUUCACUGGGUUUAAAGGGUGCGUAGGCGGGCAGGUAAGUCAGUGGUGAAAUCCUGGAGCUUAACUCCAGAACUGCCAUUGAUACUAUCUGUCUUGAAUAUUGUGGAGGUAAGCGGAAUAUGUCAUGUAGCGGUGAAAUGCUUAGAUAUGACAUAGAACACCUAUUGCGAAGGCAGCUUACUACGCAUAUAUUGACGCUGAGGCACGAAAGCGUGGGGAUCAAACAGGAUUAGAUACCCUGGUAGUCAAGGGCG